rnacentral:lncRNA from 13 species
CUUUGAAAUAAUCUGCCCCUAUAUUGUAGUUAUACAGAUGUAGGACCUUAAUAACCUUUUACUACAGUGGGCUAAAUCAGGGUCACACACAGUGUUUCUUUGUAGUCUUAAACAAAUCUACUUUGAAACAAAAGUAUACACCUCACACACAUGGAUAUGGUCUUAAAAAAGAAGACACUUUUAGCAUUUCAGAUACAGAGUUGAUACACUUUAUAUACACUACCGGUCAAAAGUUUUUCAAACACCUACUCAUUCAAGGGUUUUUCUAUAUAUUUACUCUUUUCUACGUUGUAGAAUAAUAGUGAAGACAUCAAAACUAUGAAAGAACACAUGGAAUCAUGUAGUAACCAAAGAAGUGUGAAACAAAUCAAAAUAAAUGUUAUGUUUAAGAUUCUUCAUAUAGCCACCGUUUGCCUUGAUAACAGCUUUGCACACGUUUGGCAAACUCUUGGGAAGUAUUAGUUACUAUGUGGAUUAUAAUUUACAUUUUUGUAGGGGUUGAUAGAUUUUUCGUUAGGGCAAAUCAAGUCUGACAUUUCCAAGUGGAAAUUACAAACUUUAAAAGCCUUUUUAAAACUAAAAUACACUACAAGUGUCUCAGCAACAAACGAGUGAUCAAAUUAAGAUCCUACAUUGGUAUGGUUUUUCUGAAUCCUGCAGUUGUAACAUAGACUAACAUAAAAUGAUAUCUUAAUCUCAUGGCAUUAAUGUAUGCUUUAGCUUCAUAUGUUGCACAUUUGUUACUAAACAUUUCUAUUUACAGGAGUUACUUUGGAAACCAAGGGACAAGCAACUUCUCUCUGAGGCUGGCCGGUAUCCGACGUGCUAUGGAGGCUCUGACAUCCUCAGACAGUACCUCCCUUAAUUACCUCACCCACGCUGGGAGGAUGGUGUUGAGUGGACUGUCUGAGCUCAACCAGCAGAUCAACCACAUCAAUUUCACAGAUGUAUUUUAUGAAUUCGUUCUACUGAGCCUUCUUGAAGGAAAAACAUCUCUUCCAACAUCUGUAAGUGACCCUAAUAAUGUAAACAUCCUGUUGUUUAUCUACCCUAUCCACACUGUAGCCAUACCAGGUCUGUAG